AAAUAACCGUUGUAUGACAUCAUCAUAAAUAAUCUCCGACGAAGAAAAUUCCUCCAUCUCGUUGUAAAUUUCAGGUCAUGUUCUUUCAAAUUCCGGCCACAACUUCAUCACCGUAACGUUGAAUCUCUUAUAAUCCCAGAUUCACCUUUAAACACCUCCUUGCCAUCUCUAAUGAUCGACUAAAACUUGGUCGGAGAAAAAUAAAAUCAGACCCGCAGAAGAGAUACGAACGAACGAACUCACCGAAUAAUUCUCAAAGCGAGAAUGAGAUUCAUAACGGCUCUUCGAUAUAACUUGCUCAAGAAGAAACUCAAGUUUUUAAAAGCAGAAGAAGAAGAAAUAGCACUU